UUGUUGAAAGGGAAGCGCUUGCAGUUAGACUUGAUUUAUCAAUUCAGCUUUCUCAUGGGAAAGUGUACUUUUGAUUAAUCAGGCCAGCAUCAGUUUGAGCAGGUAUAAAAAUGUAGUUGGAAUGUAGCUUUCACUUCGGUGGAAGUGUUAUAGACUUCUAUAUCAUGUAUUUCGUUCAGACUGAGGUCCGCCAUUCUUUGUAGGAUGCUGGCAUAAUGACUGUAAGCGGCCCGUCUUGAAACACGGACCAAGGAGUCGACCUAUUAUGCGAGUGUUUGAGUGUUAAACUCACACGCGUAAUGAAAGUGAACGGAGGUACGAAUUCGCAAGAAUGCAGUAUCGACCGAUCCUGAAGUUUACGGAUGGAUUUGAGUAUGAGCAGAAUGGGUCGGACCCGAAAGAUGGUGAUCUAUGCGUGAAUAGGGUGAAGCCAGAGGAAACUCUGGUGGAGGCUCGCAGCGGUUCUGACGUGCAAAUCGAUCGUCAAAUCUGCGCAUAGGGGCGAAAGACUAAUCGAACCAUCUAGUAGCUGGUUCCUGCCGAAGUUUCCCUCAGGAUAGCAGUAAUGAAUAAACAGUCUCAUGAGGUAGAGCGAACGAUUAGAGGCCUUGGGGCAGUAACUGCCUUAACCUAUUCUCGAACUUCGAAUAUGUGAGAAGUCCUUGUUACUUAAUUGAACGUGGACAUUUGGAUGUAUCAUUAUUAGUGGGCCAUUUUUGG
rnacentral:rRNA from 1 species